rnacentral:rRNA from 1 species
GAUGAACGCUGGCGGCGUGCCUAAUACAUGCAAGUCGAGCGAACGGACGAGGAGCUUGCUUCUCUGACGUUAGCGGCGGACGGGUGAGUAACACGUGGAUAACCUACCUAUAAGACUGGGAUAACUUCGGGAAACCGUAGCUAAUACCGGAUAAUAUUUUGAACCGCAUGGUUCAAAAGUGAAAGACGGUCUUGCUGUCACUUAUAGAUGGAUCCGCGCUGCAUUAGCUAGUUGGUAAGGUAACGGCUUACCAAGGCAACGAUGCAUAGCCGACCUGAGAGGGUGAUCGGCCACCCUGGAACUGAGACACGGUCCAGACUCCUACGGGAGGCAGCAGUAGGGAAUCUUCCGCAAAGGGCGAAAGCCUGACGGAGCAACGCCGCGUGAGUGAUGAAGGUCUUCGGAUCGUAAAACUCUGUUAUUAGGGAAGAACAUAUGUGUAAGUAACUGUGCACAUCUUGACGGUACCUAAUCAGAAAGCCACGGCUAACUACGUG